rnacentral:lncRNA from 1 species
UGGGAUGUGAUCACACAGCUGCUUGGCAGUUCUGGAGGCUGGGAAGUCCAAGAUCAAGGUGCUGGCAGGUUCCAUGUCUGCCACACCUACCUUCCUCCUGCCCCAUCCA